rnacentral:tRNA from 1 species
UCCCUGGUGGCUCAGUGGGUUAAGGAUCCAACAUUGCCACUGCUGUGGCUCGGGUUCAACCCCUGGCCUGGGAA